AAGACAACAAAUGAUAAAAAAACGAGAAGAGAAGAUGAGACAGAGUUGGAACUCUUUAGUAGGGAGGAGUAAGUGACGCAGGUAGGAGAAGACUUCCUCCGACAACGUAAGAAAAUCGGAGAGGAUUCAGGGAGAGAAACACUAAACGAAGUAGAGAAGAAAACAUGGAGGUGACCAAAUGAAGAAUGACGGAAGGAGUUGUGGCAAGUGAUGCCAGCGACAGUGAGAGACAAGGACGCUAAGAUCGAGAGAAAAUGGAAGAGGAAUGAGGGUGAAGAGGGGAAGCACGACGGAAGAAGGAGAAGAGGGUGGUGACAGAGGUGGCGGUGACAGAUAAGAAGGCUAGAUCGAGAGAGAAGGGAAGAGGAGACAGGAAUGUAUACUACAAGUUUGACGACACUUAUCAGGUCCCAUCUCACAGAUCCAUUUCAACUCUUCAAUGAGAUUUUCGUGGUUCUCUAUUUCUAGCUUCGAGUAUUUCGUGCAAUUCGAAGCUUUGAUCUUUGAGGUAUGGAGAGUGUUAGUUCAGAAAAGAUAAGAGGAAGAAGAAGCCAGUGGAGGGUGAGAACAAGAUCAAGUGCAAAAUGAAGAUUGUGAAUUGCAAGUUCUGGAGAAAACUUAUGCUGGUUUUAUUCAGGAAUUGGAAAGGGAUUCAAGGCGUGUUUACUGUGAUAUCAAAUCUCAAUAAAUUAAGCUUCUCUUCUAUAUGAGUGUUUCAUCUAAUAUUACUAUAUCAACCAAGUUGGAACUGUUAAAGAGGUCAAUGAGGUGGUGAAGCAUGCAAAGGAAACAUAUAAUAAAGUGGUAACUUCCCGUAGAUGUGGAAAAACCAUACACGCUUUCAUUGCUGCCAUUGGAAUUGAGAAAAUCCGACAGAAAUCCAGUGACAAUCUUAAUAGUGUUCUCAUGCCAAUAGCAAUGAUAGAUCAAGAUUCGGAUUCUGAAGUAACAAUUGUGCAGCUUAGCUUUGGUGAUGGUCUUGGGGCUCGUAUUGACAUGGUGACAUGGCUCUUUGAAAUAUAUUUGUGCUCAAACUCUAAAACUUUGCAAUCCAUUUGAAUAUAUUAGUGUAUUCUUGGUUAGAUAUUGUUGAAGUAAGAUAGCGUUGCUUUUUAGAGUUAGAGAAGAUUUAUUACUCCUCUUACCUUUGCCCUGCUGUCCGUCUUUAUAUAUCCCUCAUGCCAUGUUAGUGUAAGUGAGGAAGAUCGUGUGCAACGUAAUUUUUUUUCUCCAAAUCUUUAUAAGUCAAUGAUGUUGCUGUCA